rnacentral:lncRNA from 1 species
GUGUGUGUGUGUGUGUGUGUAUUUCUGGUAAUUCGUGUCUGGGUGCUUGCGAUAUUCAUGGAAUGUUGUUCUUUACACCAGUGGUCAGUUCGUGUGGCUAGGGCUUAAGUCAGCCAUCUGUCUCUGGGUGUGGUCGUGAUUGGUAUCAGUUGGUCGCUCAAUAUGUCUCUGGAACAGUACAGGCUGGGAAAACGCAAAAGGCGUCGUGAGUGAGACAGGCAAAAACUGUCAUACAUAGGAGGAGUGAAGGACAGGAAAAAACAGCGCUCCAAAAGAAGUGUGUCUCAAAACAAACAAUACCUCACAGUGAUGGGAGGAACUGAACUAAAUAAUUUGGGAUGAUGACAUCCAGGUGUGUGAACAGGUUAUUAGAUACCCGGUGAUUGGGAUCUGGAGAGUGAGCUGGAAAGUGGACUGCGUUCCGGGGAUCUAAGUGUUUGGGAGUGUGAGUUGGAUGUAGACGUUACACCGAGUGGGAAAAUACGUUUGAACAGUCAUCCAACUCGGAAUUGCAAAUCGGGAACUCAGGCCUCUUUCUAAAGCUCCGACCUGAAGAUCACUGACGUCAUCAUGUUCCCAAUUUAUCCAGAGAAUGCCAGACUUUGAUGACACUAUUUGGCCACGAAGGACCGACGUGCCACCUUCCUGUUCAAGUGAGCACAGCACAAGCGAGUACCACUUCCUCCCGAUUCAGCACAUACCUGCCGCCAACUCGGGACCUCUGCCUUGCUAGCACACGUGACCACCCUCCAGAAGCGUCUUAACAGACGGCACCACGCUAAAAGCUAGCUAUUCGCUGGUGAAAGUGGAGACACUAGGCUGAGGACUCUCCCUUCUCUUGGAUUGAGCCUUUUCAGGUCGUAAAAGGGGCCCAGAAAGAGGAGGAUGUCGAACCCAGACACCAAGACGGACCCCUGGCCUCCCCCUCCACCGGCUAGACUCCAGACUGCAGACACCCCUGCCUGGACCAGCACAAACCAGACACAGACAAUACCAGAGCAGCUCACUUUCACAGCUUUGAUUUAAAGAGUUAUAUAGAGGCCAGAGGCCACCUUCAUAUAAGACUGCCCAAUCUCAUAACCUCACUGCCCAACCCUUUAACCAUGUAAAAAUGUAAAUGUAAUGUAAUGCAACCUAUAGAGUGUGUCAUGUCUCACUCAGUCCUUCAGAGAAUCUUGGUUAUCCUUUGGUUUACCAUGAUUCUACCCUACCCUCAUAAGAACGAUUCACUCUUACUGACAAUAGAGAUAUACACUGAGUAUACCUAACAUUAGGUAUACCUUCCUAGUAUUCUAGGGUAGUGUAAUAGUUGUGUAACAGUGUGUAAUGCCAAUUUAAGUAAGUUGUGGGCCAUUCUCGAACAGACCAGGCUUACUUUACUGUUAAGACAGAGUAAGGUUUGUUUGAAGCCCGUUGUGGGAUAAAAAGGGAGUUAUGUAAACUGUGGAUUAGGGUUGUUUUGUAAAGGGAUAUACCCCCCAGAAUGAGAUUGGAAUUUGGUUUUGGACUGGCUCUGUGGGCCUGUUUUUAACAGGCAUACCUGCACAUGCUAAUAUGUCUGCAUACCAAAUGAGCACCCUAUAUUCCCUACAUAGUGCACUACUUUUACAUAAUACAAGUAAAACCCUGUCUGUGAUUCUCUAUCCCUCUCUCCCUACAUCCCUCUUUCCUUCUCACGCACAUUCCUCUUGCUAACUCCCUCCCUCGCUCUCUCCAUCACUAUCUAUUCUGUCUGUCUCUGGGUGCCUCAGCUGAGUAGCUCAGUUGCUGCAAUGCUACAUGAUCUGGUUUUCAAUGCUAGAGCAGAGCUGCUAGUUAGAGGGGGAAGGGUGCUGUGGUAUGGGAACUCAGGCUAGACAGACAGUUAUCUACAAGCCCAGGAUCCACCAUAGAGAGAGGGUACAUUUUCUUCCCUAUAAUGUACACUUUCUUCAACACACCACCAUCUCCCUCCUCCAAUUCAUCCUUGAUCUUCUCCCCAUUUCUGAGCCCCAGAGCCACCCUGUACAUCCCGCCCUCUGCAUCCCAAAGCCCCCCUUUAUCCUCCACCCUUCCUUCCCCUUUCCUCAUUCUGCAACCCAAAGCCAUGCUGUACCCCCUUUCCUUCCACCCCCUUCUGCACCCCAAAGUCACCCUGCACUCCCAUCCCAUCCCCCUCUUCUGCACCAUUUUGCCCCCCUCCUCCUUCUCAGUGCCAUGUUCUCUCCGUUCAUCUGCCAGUGUCUUUCCUGCCUGUGGGGCCAAUGGGUCAGCAGUUUGAUAAACACAUAAAGCAGCCUUGCUACACCAUGAAGGCCCCUGAUGGCCCCUGGUGGCCCAUGACACUAGUUCCCACAGCCCGCCUGUCUGUCACUCCAACUGACUGACAACAGUCACCCUAACCCUCUCUUCACACCCCUCCCACCCAUUAAUCCCCAUCCCUGCCCCCCACCCUGGACAGUUGACAAUCCGUUAGAGAAGGGAUGGGCGUCUCUUUCUCUCCCCCUCUCACUCACUCUCGAUCUUCUCCCCAUUUCUGGCCCCCAGAGCUACCCUGAAGAGCCAAAAAGAAAUCAGAUCAUUCUGGAUCCUAUUUUAACAUCAAAAUAUCAAUCAUGGAAUACCUGGAUAUGUUAUAUGAAAUAGCUUACUUUUUGAAUCAUAGGCUUCCAUCUCAGUUGUCUUACAUGGUACUGGAUUUUUUGUUGUUGUCUAGAGCUCUGCCAUUAAUGUAAAGUAGUCCUAACUGUCCAUACAAAAUAUAUAUAUUGUUGUAUUUGUUGUUAUUGAGCAAAGUAGUUACAUUUAUCACAAUAUUACUUUUUCUCCAUAACGCCCAGCUCUAGCAACUCCCCCAAAAAUUACUUAUGGUAAUUGCUCGCUGAUUUAUCAUUGUCACAAAAAAUGGGUACAUUUAUUACGAUAUGGAUUUUUUUCCAUAUCUCCCAUCUCUACCCUGAUGCCACCCUCCCCCUUGCAAAAUAACACAGAUGCUCCUGUGAAGCCAGAGCCCUAUACUAUGAAUAAGGUUUGAGGAGUUAGCGAAGUAACUUUGGUCAACUCUGAAUUCAACUCGGGAUAACAGGUACCACAAAAGUGGUUCAACUUUUAGCCAGGUACAUUUCUAUGGCAACCAAUCCUUCAGAACUAAUCUGCUACAGGGCAGGCUAACUCAGGGCUAACUCCAUUUAUCCUGAAGGAAGUGUGAGUUGAGGACCAAUGAAAUCAGAUUCAAGUCAAAUGUUUUAUUUGUCACAUGCGCCGAAUACAAGCCCUUAACCAACAAUGCAGCUUUAAGGAGCCUUUUGGACCUAGACUUGGCUCUCCGGUACCGCUUGCCACGCGGUAGCAGAGAGAACAGUCUAUGACUUGGGUGACUGUAGUCUUUGACCAUUUUUUGGGCCUUCCUCUGACAUCGCCUAGUAUAUAGGUCCUGGAUGGCAGGAAGACUGGCCCCAGUUAUGUACUGGGCUGUAUGCACUACCCUCUGUAGCACCUUACGGUCAGAUGCUGAGCAGUGAGCAGUUACCAUACCAGGAGGUAAUGAAACCAGUUCAGAUGCUCUCGAUGGUGCAGCUGUAGAACUUUUUGAGGAACUGGGACCCAUGCCAAAUCUUUUCAUGCCAAUUCCCUCCCUCUCGCAAAUAUUGUCAUCAUCACCUUCAUUUGAGGAAGAUGACUGAUUCAAUAUUUUAUUAAUCAAAUGUUUUUUUGUGUUAAAAUACCUAUCACAUUACACAUUUACUGUAGUAAUGACAGAAUGCAUUUGAAAUGUCAUGCACAGUAAAACUUUUGUCUGACUUAAUACAAUUCUAUUAUUGAUAGGAAUGGGAGAAAAGGGUGCUUGUGUACACCAAAGCACACCAAAGAUGGCAUUGAUGAUAAGUAAUAAAAUAAAGUUGGCACUUCUUACAAGCCUAUUUCACUCCAUAGCCUGCUGAAUUUGCAAGAUAACUUUUCUUUCAUUUUUUAUUCUCAGCAUAAAUUAAAAUAUGACAUU